GACGAACGCUGGCGGCGUGCUUAACACAUGCAAGUCGAACGGAAAGACCCUGCUUUUGUGGGGUGCUCGAGUGGCGAACGGGUGAGUAACACGUGAGUAACCUGCCCUUGACUUUGGGAUAACUUCAGGAAACUGGGGCUAAUACCGGAUAGGAGCUCCUGCUGCAUGGUGGGGGUUGGAAAGUUUCGGCGGUUGGGGAUGGACUCGCGGCUUAUCAGCUUGUUGGUGGGGUAGUGGCUUACCAAGGCUUUGACGGGUAGCCGGCCUGAGAGGGUGACCGGCCACAUUGGGACUGAGAUACGGCCCAGACUCCUACGGGAGGCAGCAGUGGGGAAUAUUGCACAAUGGGCGGAAGCCUGAUGCAGCAACGCCGCGUGCGGGAUGACGACCUUCGGGUUGUAAACCGCUUUCGCCUGUGACGAAGCGUGAGUGACGGUAAUGGGUAAAGAAGCACCGGCUAACUACGUG
rnacentral:rRNA from 1 species